GACGAACGCUGGCGGCGUGCUUAACACAUGCAAGUCGAACGAAGUGGCGAACGGGUGAGUAACGCGUAAUCAACCUGCCCUUCAGAGGGGGACAACAGUUGGAAACGACGGCUAAUACCGCAAACUGAAGGAGGGGAUUGCGUCUGAUUGGCUAGUUGGGGGGGUAACGGCCCACCAAGGCGAUGAUCAGUAGCCGGUCUGGGGGGGUGAACGGCCACAUUGGGACUGGGAACCGGCCCAGACUCCUCCGGGAGGCAGCAGUGGGGAAUCUUCCGCCAUGGACGACAGUCUGACGGAGCAACGCCGCGUGAGUGAUGACGGCCUUCGGGUUGUAAAGCUCUGUUAAUCGGGACGCGGUACCGGAAUAGAAAGCCACGGCUAACUACGUGCCAGCAGCCGCGGUAAUUC
rnacentral:rRNA from 1 species